CACCGCGGUUAUACGAGGGGCCCAAGUUGAUAGGGUUCGGCGUAAAGGGUGGUUAAUAGAACAUACACUAAAGCCGAACGCCUUCGGAGCUGUUAUAAGCUUCUGAAGAAAGGAAGCUCUUCCACGAAAGUGUCUUUAAAUACUAUGACCCCACGAAAGCUAGGGCA
rnacentral:rRNA from 1 species